rnacentral:rRNA from 1 species
CAGUCGCCGCGGUAAUACGUAGGUGGCAAACGUUGUCCGGAAUUAUUGGGCGUAAGGGGCUCGCAGGCGGUUUCUUAAGUCUGAUGUGAAAGCCCCCGGCUCAACCGGGGAGGGUCAUUGGAAACUGGGAAACUUGAGUGCAGAAGAGGAGAGUGGAAUUCCACGUGUAGCGGUGAAAUGCGUAGAGAUGUGGAGGAACACCAGUGGCGAAGGCGACUCUCUGGUCUGUAACUGACGCUGAGGAGCGAAAGCGUGGGGAGCGAACAGGAUUAGAUACCCCAGUAGUCCCUGUCUCUUAUAC